CAAGUCCAAGACACCCACUGGGUGCUGGAAAGAGUGCAGAGAAGCUUUCCUGGUGGACUUCCUGGAGGCCAGGGGAAGGCCCCUCGCUCCUCCCAUGAGGGAUGAAACACCAGGAUAUGGGAAACUUUCCUGAUUCAGCCAGCCCUUGGAUGUCAAGGAGACAAACACUGGACUGGAGGAUUUCAGCCCACUGGGGAGAUGCCUGAGGGGCUCGCCCAUGGACAGAACAUCUGGAGACAGCUAGGAGUUUUGGAGGAGGACACGACAUGAUAUGCUCCGGCAUAAAAGGAGAUGUGCCAUUUUCAUAUGUUCCACACAUACUCAGAGAACCUGCUUGGAAUAUUUUUGCUGAUGAAAUUUUCUGGGUUGUAACAUUCAUCUCUUUGAAAAGCUUGCUUCCUAUAACCCCACGUGGAGGUGCUGGACACACACGGUGCUUUGCCGACGCGAGCGGACCCAGCUCCCUGCCCUGUGGAGAGCACCGUCUAAUGAAAAUAGACAAGCCCAGCACACCGGAAAUCAUACAAAUACAAGACGAAAGAUGCUGCUGGCUUGGGAAUUGGGGAAGGCCAGUCAGGGCUUAG
rnacentral:lncRNA from 1 species